GCAAGUCGAACGGAGUUUUAACGGAAGUUUCGGAUGGAAGUUUAGAAACUUAGUGGCGGACGGGUGAGUAACGCGUGGGUAACCUGCCUCAUACAGGGGGAUAACAGUUAGAAAUGACUGCUAACACCGCAUAAUAUAGCGAAACCGCAUGAUUUUUGCUAUCAAAUAUUUAUAGGUAUGAGAUGGGCCCGCGUCUGAUUAGCUAGUUGGUGGGGUAAAAGCCUACCAAGGCGACGAUCAGUAGCCGGCUUGAGAGAGUGACCGGCCACAUUGGGACUGAGACACGGCCCAAACUCCUACGGGAGGCAGCAGUGGGGAAUAUUGGACAAUGGGGGAAACCCUGAUCCAGCGAACCGCCGCGUGAGUGAAGAAGUAUUUCGGUAUGUAAAGCUCUAUCAGCAGGGAAGAUAAUGACAGUACCUGACUAAGAAGCCCCGGCUAACUACGUGCCAGCCGCUGC
rnacentral:rRNA from 1 species